GCACCGCACCUUUAUUCUCUCUUCUCUCUCCGCCAAAAAUGGAAGAAAUGUAGAAAUAAUAGAGAAAAUGUAUCUUUUGCAUGUCUAUUAUGGUGAAACAAUUAAUGUUUCACUUGAUUUCGCGAAAACAUAUUUCAAACACGGUAAUAAAUCGCCUCUUUGCUCUAUUUUUUUAUUUGUUCAAGUUAAAUCUGUGAUUUGUGUGCUUUAUUGUUGUACCUUACUUGAGACUCAUUGGUUGAACAAGAAUGAAUCAGAUCGAGUCCAGAUCUGACCAUUCGUUGUUGAUUCGAGUUAAUCUGAGCUGUAUGAAGGCUUAUAAAGGAUAAUUUUGGGGAAAUUUGAUUUGUCCCAAAUCAUGUGUUUAAUUCCUUGAAUGAACUUUGGGGUUCUAUAAAUAGAACCCCAACCCUCUCACCAAAACAAUAAUAAUAAUAAUAAUAAUAAUACUAAUAAAUUAAAAGAGAGAGAGAGAGAGAGAGAGAGAGAGAGAGAGAGAGAGAGAGAGAAAAGAGGAGAUUUUUUUAGAGGUUUUUGGAAGUUAAAAAAUUUCUUGACAACCUUAGAGCCUUGAUUUGAGCAUAAAACUCAAAGCCUAGGCUCAUAGUAAAAUUUUAAAGAUUUGGCCUUGCUCUAGGGUUUUGGUCUUUCUUUAGUUCUGAAAUAUUUGUUGUUUUCUUUCAUUUUCUUUGUGGUUUGAGUCGGAGUUUGGAAGCACAAAGGCUCCAAGUUCAACUCUUGAUAUCGCUGCGCCUAAAAAAGUCUUGCCACCCUAUUGGGCCAAUAGGAAAGUUCUUUCAAAAUUAUUGAGUCCGAGAAAAAGAAAGGGAAGCUAGUAUAUAUUUGAAAGCCCAGUCAAGGGUGAAAAUUACAUGAAGGCCCAACCAUGGGUAAAAAUGGUUAACUAGGGGUUUGGUACACCCCUAGUCUAUCCUUCCUACAUUAUUUAUGCAAUUCCAUUUUUUUUUUUAAUGUUGUAUUGUAUUCAUACUUGUAAAAACCACAUUAUGAUUGGAAUCGGUUAUGGUUUGAAC